GGAAGAAUUUAUUUAGAUAUGCUUAAUGUAUACAAGUGCCUCAGUGAAAAUAUUUCUGCAGCUAUCCAAGCUAAUGGUGAAAUGGUUACAAAGCAACCAUUGAUUAGAAGUAUGCGAACUGUAAAAAGGGAAACUUUAAAGUUAAUAUCUGGUUGGGUGAGCCGAUCCAAUGAUCCACAGAUGGUCGCUGAAAAUUUUGUUCCCCCUCUGUUGGAUGCAGUUCUCAUUGAUUAUCAGAGAAAUGUCCCAGCUGCUAGAGAACCAGAAGUGCUUAGUACUAUGGCCAUAAUUGUCAACAAGUUAGGGGGACAUAUAACAGCUGAAAUACCUCAAAUAUUUGAUGCUGUUUUUGAAUGCACAUUGAAUAUGAUAAAUAAGGUGUGUAAUAUUUCAGUUAUGUAAGGGGGAAAUUCUGCAGGAUAGCCUUAAUUCUUGAAAGCUAAAGUAUGUCUGUGGAUAUAACAUAAUUUUAAUGCCAUGGAGUUUAAAUAUUUAAACUUGUAUAUUAGGGAAAUACUUUCUUGGUUUUCAAGAACUUACUUCCCAGGAGUUUGAAACCAAC
rnacentral:lncRNA from 1 species